GAAAGAUCGGGAGUUGCUUUGCACUCUGUGAAAACAAGAUACAGGGCUAGCGGCGGACGGGGUGAGUAAACACGUGGGGUAAACCCUGCCCAAAGAGAUCGGGAUAACACCUGGAAACAGAUGCUAAUACCGGAUAACAACAGAUGAUGCCUAUCAACUGUUUUAAAAGAUGGGUUCUGCUAUCACUCUUGGAUGGACCUGCGGUGCAUUAGCUAGUUGGUAGGGUAACGGCCUACCAAGGCGAUGAUGCAUAGCCCGAGUUGAGAGACUGAUCGGCCACAUUGGGACUGAGACACGGCCCAAACUCCUACGGGAGGCAGCAGUAGGGAAUCUUCCACAAUGGACGCAAGUCUGAUGGAGCAACGCCGCGUGAGUGAAGAAGGGUUUCGGCUCGUAAAGCUCUGUUGUUGGUCGAAGAAGGACAGGGGGUAGUAACUGACCUUUGUUUGACGGUAAUCAAUUAGAAAGUCACGGCUAACUACGUGCCAGCAGCCGCGGUAAU
rnacentral:rRNA from 1 species